GACGAACGCUGGCGGCGUGCUUAACACAUGCAAGUCGAGCGAGAAAGCACCUUCGGGUGUGAGUACAGCGGCGAACGGGUGAGUAACACGUGGGCAACCUGCCCUAGAGACUGGGAUAACGUCCCGAAAGGGACGCUAAUACCGGAUGAUGCGCGAUCUGCCAAGUAGGUCGCGCCAAAUGGUAGCUUCGGCUUCUGCUCUGGGAUGGGCCCGCGCCGGAUUAGCUUGUUGGUGAGGUAACGGCUCACCAAGGCGACGAUCCGUAGCUGGUCUGAGAGGACGAUCAGCCACACUGGGACUGAGACACGGCCCAGACUCCUACGGGAGGCAGCAGUGGGGAAUCUUGCGCAAUGGGCGAAAGCCUGACGCAGCAACGCCGCGUGAGCGAAGACGGCCUUCGGGUUGUAAAGCUCUGUCAGGAGGGACGAAGCCACUCAGGUGAAUAGCCGAGAGGGUGACGGUACCUCCAGAGGAAGCCCCGGCUAACUACGUGCCAGCCGCCGCAGUAAUAC
rnacentral:rRNA from 1 species